CCUACGGGCGGCAGCAGUGGGGAAUAUUGGACAAUGGGGGCAACCCUGAUCCAGCCAUGCCGCGUGUGUGAAGAAGGCCCUCGGGUUGUAAAGCACUUUCAGUGAGGAAGAACGCCUGGUGGUUAAUACCCAUCAGGAAAGACAUCACUCACAGAAGAAGCACCGGCUAACUCCGUGCCAACAGCCGCGGUAAUACGGAGGGUGCGAGCGUUAAUCGGAAUUACUGGGCGUAAAGCGCGCGUAGGUGGCUUGAUAAGCCGGUUGUGAAAGCCCCGGGCUCAACCUGGGAACGGCAUCCGGAACUGUCAAGCUAGAGUGCAGGAGAGGAAGGUAGAAUUCCCGGUGUAGCGGUGAAAUGCGUAGAGAUCGGGAGGAAUACCAGUGGCGAAGGCGGCCUUCUGGACUGGCACUGACACUGAGGUGCGAAAGCGUGGGUAGCAAACAGGAUUAGAUACCCCAGUAGUC
rnacentral:rRNA from 1 species